AACGUAGGUGGCAAGCGUUAUCCGGAUUUACUGGGCGUAAAGCAUGUGCAGACGGGUUGGUAAGUGGUGUAUGAAAGCGUCCGGCUUAACCGGGCAAGCGUAGGCCAGACUGCCAGUCUUGAGAGUGGGAGAGGGAUGUGGAAUUCCGGGUGUAGGUGGUGAAAUGCGUAGAUAUCGGGAGGAACACCAGUGGCGAAGGCGACUACCUGGCCUGUUCUUGACGCUGAGGCGCGAA
rnacentral:rRNA from 1 species